UACAGAGGUCCCAAGCGUUGUUCGGAUUCACUGGGCGUAAAGGGUGCGUAGGUGGCGGGGUAAGUUUGAUGUGAAAUCUCCGAGCUUAACUCGGAAAUGGCAUUGAAUACUAUUCUGCUCGAGGUUUGGAGGGGGGACUGGAAUUCUCGGUGUAGCAGUGAAAUGCGUAGAUAUCGAGAGGAACACCAGUGGCGAAGGCGAGUCCCUGGACAACACCUGACACUGAGGCACGAAAGCUAGGGGAGCAAACAGGAUUAGAAACCCCCGUAGUCC
rnacentral:rRNA from 1 species